GGUACUUUUAGUGUGACAAACAACCCAUAUUUUAAAUGAAUGAAUAUGACUGUAUAUAAGGAAACUGCUGACAAAGUUCUGAUCCGUGCAUCUCUAAAGCCCUAAGUUGUGUUGUCUUGUGAUGGACUGGUGACCCGUCUGGGGUAUAGCUCACCUCCUGCCAUUUAACUACUGGAGGUACAUACCAGCAGUUCUGCAAGAACUAAAUGGAUGGAUAAAAAUCAUUCAGUUGAUCCAGAUAUCACUUGUUUAGGAAUCUAGGAUGGCCUGUUCUUUUCAAACCAGUCUCUGGUAGCCUCAGCGUGAGACAAUUAUUACUUUAACCCUAUUGUUUGGUAUAUGGGUUGAACCCUAAAUCAAACCCAUAACCCAACCCUGUUGUGUUAAAGGAACCCAGUACUUGAUUUGUCCAUAUUUGACCGGAUUAGAAAACUAACCCAAAUUGGGUUGGUUUUAAUCAAACAGUUUUUAAAGUGUAUCCAAUUUUUGCAAAAAAGUUAAUUUGAUUAUUUGUGUACAUCAGCAGAUGAUUAAAAUAGCCUAAACGCACCUGUUUGAAAAAAAAAAAAAAAAAAGACAAUGCGGUAGUGAUGAUUUGAAGUGGCUGCGGUGCAUUAGCUGGUGCCGUAGGCAAUCCUCGGUUGCCAAGGAAACACAGAUGGUGGAUAAAGGGGUUGCAUACAAAAGACCAUAAACCUGUAGCAGCAGCUGGCGACCGAGAGCGCUCAUUCUCUCAGGACUGCGCAGUCCCGCUCAUUGAAAGGAGCCUCUGUUCUCAUCAAUACCUUCGCUUCAUCAUCUUUGUCCAAAACGUCCUGAUCCACUUUAAGUCCCGUUUCUCCCGAACUGGACUGCCGUCUCCCCGUCAGUGCGCAGCUGCUGCUGGCACUCCCACAUCUGCCUGUUUCAGCUCGGCGGCCAUGAAGAGGACGCUGAGCCGCGGCUCAUGGUGAAAUGCAGGAGACUUGGACCGAGGAGCGACCUCCUUAAUGUGGCGCAGGCAGAGAAACUGCGCUUAAACAGCGGGUAUGCGUAUGUUGAACAGCUUGCUCCCAGGUUGGAGUGGGAAACGGAAGAAAAGGAAGAAGCCAUGAUCUCUUCGCACCUUAUAUGCUGCGGGACGGGUGGAACCUGAUCCCUGGAGAGAAACGUAAAAGGCAAUGCACACCAGUGGCGUCAGACACACGCGAAAUAAUACAUUCCUAUUAUUUCCCAAAACAAUGCACACCGGCAGUGCCUGGUUGGCCGGCAACACUACAAGGUGACACUUGUUGUAUGGGCUGGACUCAUCUCCAGAGCUGCUGACAUAACACCAAACACAACUCUGGGAGGAUCUGACAACAGGGCAGGUUAUGUGUUAUGCUUUGUUAAAAUUGCUGGAGGACGACAAUCUUUUUAGAUCAGUUUCUAGUCAUUUAGUUGUCAGUGUAAUCCUUUUUCUCAGGUAUAAUAAAAGGCUCUGAUGGAAAAGAAUAAAAUGCAGGAUCUAAAGCCUGAGCCCUUUGGGGAUCUUGAUAGGACAGUUAAGUUCCGUCCCACUUUUCUGCUGCUUUGUGUUAUGUGUCCCUUCUCCAGUUACACUGAUGAAAAAGCAGAUUUGGCCUCAACAAGACCCCAUUGUACCCCAGCUGACUGUGCUUCAUUUCCUUUGCUGUGAAACCACCAGCGUUAUGUGACUGAGACUUGGUGUCAUUUGAGCUGUGCGGCACCUUCAGAGGGAAAAUUUCCAUUAGAGUGUUUCUCUACCGAGAGAUGACUUCUGCUGUUCAUCAGUGAAAAGAAAUAAGCAUGCAGCCAUUGCUUUGUCUUUAUUAUCUGUUUAUUAUUAUUUACUUGGAACGCACUUCAUUCGGAAUCAUUUGCUGCUCUGUUAGAGCCUUGUUUUAUAGCUUAUUCAAUCAUUGUCUUCUUUCUAUUUCUGUUGAUCAGAUGCACAGAAACCUUUCCUGUUAAUCAACUCCAAACGAUCUGUGUCCUGUUACAUGAGUUACAUUUUCUUGCAAUUUACUUACUCCCAGGCAAGAGAUGUUACUUAGUGUCUUCUUGUGAAAGCUUGUGUACAGUCUUGCCAAAUUUAAAUCUAUGAAGAUGUAAUAUUUAGAGACUGUGCAAACAAAAAUAUUAUGUGCUUAGUGUGUGAAAAUGACUAAUGUUCUCACCUUCUUAAAAAGUGUAAAUCACACAUUUCUAUUUGUUGAAAAACCUACAGAGUCCAAUGCGAAACCAGCUAUUUUUACUGUACUAUUCUGCAGUCUAUCUGUAGUAUGUGUGUUUGUGUGUGUGUGUGUGUGUGUGUGUGUGUGUGUGGGUGGGUGAGUGAGUGCAUGUGUUUCUCGGCAUGUACUCCAUUUGUGUUUGUGGCAGUAUGUGUGCAUGUGUGUCUCAUCAGUCUGAUAUGAUGUGUCUGUAAUGUGCCUGAAACUGCCACUACAGUCCUUUUUAGCCACUAGAUGUACCAGAUAAGAGAUAAAACAUUAUUUACUGAUGAUUCUUAGCAUUUGUUACAGCCUCAUUAAACUAGCAGUCCUACUUGUGAUUUAGAUCACAGGAUAUCAUUGGAAAUUAGUGGGGUGCAGUUUUCUGAACGAUGCCUGCUGGCAUAAGUGAAACCGUUUCCAUGCCAGCAGCCCCAUCAUUUAACACUUAAGCAAAUUACAGCAAAUGCUAAUAAUGACAUGUAAAUAGCCUUUUACCCAUGUCUGGAUUGCACUAACAGUAUCUGACUAAUAUCUAACAGUACUAAUGUCUGCUAACAGUUGAAGGAUUACUAACCUAUAUUAAGAAUGCAAAUGGCUUGCAUUUCUAACCCACUAACUUCCCUUUCUGCUUUAUGCCAACAGUCUAAGAAGCACACUUCUCUUGCAUGAUCCUGCAAUCCUGCUUUUAGAGGUGUCUGAUUCAGAAAUCUCAAAGCGAGCAUGGAUAGAAGGAUUUCAGAACCGGGGAAGGGAAACUUUAAAAAACAGAGGAGCAGCUGUAGCAGCCGCUGAGGUCGAACUUGGUUGACCACAUACUGAACCUAAAAAAAAUUUAAUCUGAUUUCAAACUAUUUAAUUUUUCAGGCUAAAUUUGCAUCUUUUAAAGAGCAGUUUUCUCUCUGAUUGUGCUGUUUGUGGUCAAUCCAGCCUUUUUGUCUCUGAAGGUAGUAACUAACCCCUAAGUGUUCAUACUAACAAUGUAGAGGCUGUAUUGACCCAUCUGCCACUCUUACUAACAUCUUCCUGUUGUCUGAUCGAUUUCACUUUAUUUAAAGCAUGUAUUGUGGUACCAUUGAUGCUUAUUAUAUGACACUCCUUGGGCUUUUUUUCCCCACAAAGCAUUGACUUUCCCAAAUGUGUUUUUAGCUCUUAGUUGAGGUUUUAUCUCUUAAAACCAAUUUUAAUGUUACUAACCAGAGGAGCUUUUAAUAGCUCUGCAAACUAACAAACUAACAUACUAAUAAACUAAUUUUCUAACAUUAACUAACUGAAAUCACUAACUUUGUGUUUUCAUGAGACAGCCAGCAAAGCAUCUUUCAACCUAGGAGCUGCAUCGCUUAUUGUAUGUAUUUAAGUGUUUGAAAGGAUGUUUGAGAUGGAAGAGUAUGUGUGUUCUAAGGCUGUCAAAAUCUGUCAAAAAUCUGUCCAAAAUUUUGAAAUAACUGAUAUUAAAAGUAGUUUUUAAAGAUUCUAAUUUGCAUCAAAAUUGAUGCAUGUAAACUGAGCCAUUUUCAUCUUCCCAAGUUGGCACACAACCUUUCACGGCAUAUGUUCAACUGCUUCCGAACUGCACUGGGUCUCACCUGAACAAUGAAGACAAUCUAAACAGUAAACCCGUACUGGAAGUUUAAAAUUACCAUAACAUGUCAAGUAUAUGUCCACAGAAGAGCCUUUGCGCUGUUGUUUGGCAUCCAUAUCUGCAAGAGCGUAGUAUUAAACAUGUCUGACUGCAUAACAUUAGCUGUUUAAAUUCGAUCAACUGCCCGCUAGCCACGUUAAACGUCGCGUUAAAUAAAAACGUGUGCUAUGCAAUAACAAAUGGUCUUAAUUCAGGAAGUUAAUGAUUUUUUGUUUUUAUUUGUUUUUGUUUUUUUGAAGACCCAGGAUAAAGACGGUCUGAGGUUAACUAGAAAUAAGUCCAGACCAGUAACAAACGUAUCCUGCUGACUCCAGCUGGUUCCCACUGAAAAUAUGAUUUACUAGAAACUGAACAGGGCUUAUGUGAUUAUAUGGAGCACAAUGUUGUUUUCUAAUUACCUGUUCAUCUUACAACCACAAUAUUAAAAUUUAUAGCAGAAUUUAUCCGAUCUACUCUUUUGCUACACAUGAAGGUGACAUGACCACUAAUUAUUGGUUUUCUGCUAAUUAGGAAAAUAAAAAUAUUGUCAUACUGUUAUUGAUUAAAUUUUUAAAAUCUUUAUAAGAAAGAACGCUAGGUCUUGAAAAGCUAUUUUUCCACAAUAUUGAAAAUCCUGUGAGCCAUUUUUUCUUAGUAUCAUUAUCAAGUUUAAAAUGUUAGUAUCCGUGAGUUUUAUGUGUUCCUUUGGAUACCUUCAAAGCAACACAUCAAUUUUUUUUAUUACUAAAACUGUUAAAUUGUGUUGUUUAGGAGACAUGAAGCUGCAUAGGAAGAAAGGAUUGUUUCAGAUCAGCAGAUUCGCCUUUGCUGCAAGAUACUUUAUUAGAAAAGAGGGCAUAAAACAGAGGAAAGAGAGGGAGGCUUGUGGAAAAUGAAUAACAUCCAUAGAGGGUGGGAAUGUUCCUGAGUGUUAAACGUGUUAUGUCCCUGUAUCUCAGCUAAAAUGGAUAUUUUCUGAGAAAUAGGUUUAAUAUUAAGAUUUUGUUGUUUUGCCAGAAUAAAUUUUUUUUUUUCAGAAUCCAUCUAUUAUUCUUUCAAUCCAAGUUAGUGAAUUGUCCCAGGCGCCACAAGAAUAUAUUGAAAAUACAGUAAUUUCUCAGUAGUUGUCAGUUCAGACAGAAGAACCAUGAAUGAAAGAAAUGUAUGAAAAACUCUUUAUUUACAUUGUUCCUAGCUUGUUCGCUGUGUUAACUGUAUACCUCUGUUAAGACCUCGUUUUGUGCACAAAUAAAACAUGUUUUCACGUUA